GAGUUUAGUGGCGAACGGGUGAGUAACGCGUGAGGAACCUGCCUUUCGAGUGGGGGACAACAGUUGGAAACGACUGCUAAUACCGCAUAAAACUUUCGAGCGGCAUCGUUUGAAAGUCAAAGAUUUAUUGCUGAAAGAUGGCCUCGCGUCUGAUUAGCUGGUUGGUGAGGUAACGGCCCACCAAGGCAACGAUCAGUAGCCGGUCUGAGAGGAUGAACGGCCACAUUGGGACUGAGAUACGGCCCAGACUCCUACGGGAGGCAGCAGUGGGGAAUAUUGCGCAAUGGGGGAAUCCCUGACGCAGCAACGCCGCGUGAAGGAAGAAGGCCUUUGGGUCGUAAACUUCUGUCCUAGGGGAAGAUAAUGACGGUACCCUUGGAGGAAGCCCCGGCUAACUACGUG
rnacentral:rRNA from 1 species